GAGUAACACGUAGAUAUCUGCCUUCAGGACGGGACAACUCAGGGAAACUUGUGACUAAUACCCGAUGAGACCACAAGGAAGGGAUUUUUUGUGGCCAAAGGCGGGCAGCAAUGCUCGUGCUGAAAGAUGAGUCUGCGUCCUAUCAGCUAGUUGGUGGGGUAAAUGCCUACCAAGGCUAAGACGGGUAGCCGGCCUGAGAGGGUGAACGGCCACACUGGGACUGAGACACGGCCCAGACUCCUACGGGAGGCAGCAGUGAGGAAUUUUCCGCAAUGGGCGCAAGCCUGACGGAGCGACGCCGCGUGAGGGAUGACAGCUUUCGGGUUGUAAACCUCUUUUAUUAAGGAAAAAGAUCUAUAUGCUAAUAUCAUGUAGAUUUGAUGGUACUUAUUGAAUAAGCCCCGGCUAACUACGUGCCAGCCGCAGC
rnacentral:rRNA from 1 species